rnacentral:lncRNA from 1 species
GGAGGAGCCUGUUCAUACAGUACCAAACAUCCUUUCAUCCCAAUUACUAAUUUCAUUUCAAAAAAUUUCUUUAGGUAUGUUGGGAGAAAGAGCAGCAAAACAAAAAACUUGUAAAGAUGUUCAGAUAAUUUGGGGUCGAGAGGAAGAAGAAACCAGGACAGAUACUGAAUACAAGAUUACUCAUCCCUUGGAAGAUGGUGGCAGAAGGAACUGGCAAACUCUCAAUGGAUGGAGCCAAGAAAUGAAAAUCAAAACUGCUUCUGAACAAAGAGGUUUGAGGCUCCAGUCUUUAACCCAAUGGACUUAACUAGUUCUGAUACAGAUACAUUUAAAAAUCCUGGACAAAUAGAGGAUUGGACUGAAUACUUAUUGCAUAUCCAUUUUUCCUAACUGGUGCUUGCAGAUGUAUUAGAAAAUACGAUAGAUGC